GUUUACCAAAAACAUGGCUUCUUGUAUUUAAAAAAUAAGGAGUCGGACCUGCCCGGUGAAAAUUUUUAACGGCCGCGGUACCCUAACCGUGCAAAGGUAGCAUAAUAAUUUGCCUUAUAAUUGAAGGCUAGUAUGAAUGGUUUGACAAGAACAUUACUGUCUCUUUAUGAUUUAUUAGAAUUUUAUUUUAAGGUGAAGAAGCCUUAAUGUAAUUGAUAGACAAGAAGACCCUAUCGAGCUUUAAAAAACUUAGAAGAUUUAUAGCUUAAUAGUAUUUAAAAAAGAAACUUUUGAAAAUUUUAGUUGGGGCGACUAAGGAACAAUAAAAGCUUCCUUUAUGUUUAUUAACUAAUAAGUUUUGAUCCAAAAUAUUUUGAUUAAAAAAAUUAGUUACCGUAGGGAUAACAGCAUUAUCUUUUUUAAGAGUUCUUAUCGAAAAAAAGGUUUGUGACCUCGAUGUUGGACCAGAAUAUCCCAAAGGUGCAGAAGCCUUUAAAGGUUGGUCUGUUCGACCAUUAAAAUUCUACGUGAUCUGAGUUCAGACCGG
rnacentral:rRNA from 1 species